UCUAUAGAGAUGGGUUUUGAGGGACUUUGGAAAUGAUUGAAGACUAGGGGAGAAUCUGAUAGGGAUAGGCAGGCUGUUCCAAAGAAAAACAGCUGCCUGUGAGUAGUCUUGCAAGCGCGAGUUAGCAGUAAGGGUGCGAGCUGUGGACAGGAGAAAGUCACUGGCAGAAUGGAGAGACCAAUAAGGGUAUACCUACAAAUCAGUGAAGAAAUGUAAUUGCGGUAGAGUUGUUUAUAGCUUUAUAGGUAUGGAUUAGUAUUUUGCAUUGACUACUAUAGGGUACAGAAGGCUAAUGUAAGGAUUGAGGUGCGAGGUGUGAGAGGAGCGACAGAAAAUACAAAUGAGUCUCUCUGCAACAUUAAUUACAGAGUGUAGCGAGGCAGUAUGGCUUCUGGGGAGAGAAUCACAGUAAUCAAUACAAAAAGUUACUAGAGUAUAAUCAAGUUCCUUAGCAGCAUAAGCUAAGCAGCAUCGUGCAUAAGAAAGGAU